ACGUCCUUCCGCGGAGACAUUGCGCCACUCCAAGUCCAUUCAUGAGUACGGUUGUACAGACUUGGCCCAUAGAGGGUGAAAGGCCCGUGGGGGUGGUGCUUCAGAUGUGUCAAUGUCUCUCUGGAUAGACCUUGGAGUCGGGUUGUUUGUGGAUGCAGCCCAAAGUGGGUGGUAAACUCCAUCAGCUAAAUACUUACACGAGUCCGAUAGCGAACAAGUACCGUGAGGGAAAGUUGAAAAGUACUUUGAAGAGAGAGUAAACAGUGCGUGAAACCGCUCAGAGGUAACGGUGAGUUGAACUGCGAGCCCAGAGAAUUCAGCUGGUGAGUGUGGUCUGAGCUUGGUCAGAUUGGUUGUACACUGCGGUCUGCGUAGUAGCAGGUUUCUGCCUUCGGGUGGAGAUGCGCGAGGCACUCAACAAGUGUUGUGCGCUCCAGAUGUAUACGGGCCUGCUUGCCGGUGCAUUUUCUCUGGGUGUUCACCACGACCGGCACUGCUGUCUGGCUGUUGUGGUUAAACCGGUCUUGCAUUGUCUCCGGACUUUGCUUGGUCGGGACGGCAGGUAGCCUGUUGGCUUUGUUUCGGCAUUGCCUUCGGGUGUAAUCAGCUGACCAUGAUGGUUCUGUGCGGUGUGUCGGAGACGGCGGCUUGUGGUGUGAGCAUGCGUGCCUUGUCCGCUGACUUGGUUGGGUUUGGUUGCUGUGUUGCUUGUUCUGCAAGCCCGGCGAUGGCUCGACUACGUUCGGUGGGCGGUUGCGUGUGUGACACUAUGCCAGGGCCA
rnacentral:rRNA from 1 species